GGGCUGUGGCUCAGUAGAUAAGCUUCUGCUUUGCUUGCUGAAGGCCCCAGGUUCAAUCCUUGGCAUGUCCA
rnacentral:tRNA from 1 species